UUUUUUAUUUCUGGAAUAUUAUUUCUUCACUCCUUUCUCCUAUGAUUGAAAUCUCCUGGAUCCUUCAAUUCUCAGGGAUAAAAACAAGUCUCAACGGAUCCUACUGAGCACACCUGAAUGUGAUUCUGGUCCCUUGAGACCACUGUUGGGAACCUCGUGGUCAUCGGGAUAUAAUUUCUGAGAAGAACUACAGAGAAGG